CAGUAGCCGCGGUAAUACGAAGGGUGCAAGCGUUACUCGGAAUUACUGGGCGUAAAGCGUGCGUAGGUGGUGGUUUAAGUCCGUUGUGAAAGCCCUGGGCUCAACCUGGGAAUUGCAGUGGAUACUGGGUCACUAGAGUGUGGUAGAGGAUAGUGGAAUUUCCGGUGUAGCAGUGAAAUGCGUAGAGAUCGGAAGGAACAUCUGUGGCGAAGGCGACUAUCUGGGCCAACACUGACACUGAGGCACGAAAGCGUGGGGAGCAAACAGGAUUAGAUACCCCGGUAGUCCCUGUCUCUUAUCC
rnacentral:rRNA from 1 species